AUUUUAUCUUCCAGGCAAGGAUAUUUGGACCGAUCUUUUACAUGUUCCACAAGAAGUGCAGCUUAUAAUCCAAGCUAUUACUCAGGCCCAGGCCUGGGAGUGCUUGCAAGAUAUAGUUGGGGUAAAAUGUUGACUUUUGGUGGACACCACGGAGUCACAUUGAUGCAGAUAAGGCACAUGGCUGUGGCAGGAUUCAGCUCCUUCAUCAAUUUUCAGAUAAUCCUUCCUCAGACAGUUUUCUUGGCUCAGGCGAUUUAAGAACCUUUGGCCAGAGUGCAAAUGGCCAAUGGAGAAAUUCUACUCCAUCGUCAAGCUCAUCUUUACAAAAAUCAAGAAACAGCCGAAGUCUUUACCUCGAAACCCGAAAGACCUCAAGUGGAUUAUCAAACAUUUUUGCGGGAAAGUCAAACCAUCACUGCCAUGUAUCUGCAUAUGAAAAAUCUUUUCCUAUUAAACCUGUUCCAAGUCCAUCUUGGAGUGGUUCAUGUCGUCGAAGUCUUUUGAGCCCCAAGAAAACUCAGAGGCGACAUGUUAGUACAGCAGAAGAGGAAUAUGAAGUCUUCUGCAAAAUUAACAAUUAAGAUGAUGUCACCACUGCACUGCUCAGUCUUACAACAGAGGUUUGAAGAGAACACAUGAAGAAGAAUUUAGAAAUAUGCAAGUAGUGGCUGUGCAGAAUGGUUGACUCAAGAGGCAACAUCAAAAAGCUGUGCUAUUCAGUAGGGUAACUGCUAGCCACAAGCUCUGUUUAAAUUAAUUCAAAUUCAAAUUUAAAAUUUAGUUACUCAAUGACACUAGCCACAUUUUAAGUAUUCAUUAGCCACAUGUGGCUAGUGGCUACCAUAUUGGACAGGGCAAAUAUAGAACAUUUCUGUUACUACAGAAAUUUCUGUUAGAUAGUGCUGUUAUAGAGGAUAUAAAGUUCUGUUUGGAAAAGAGAAAAUACUUGUGACAGUAAAAAUG
rnacentral:sRNA from 1 species